AAUUUUGAAAUUUAAAAUUUGGAAUUUAAAAUUUGUAAUUUAAAAUUUGAAAUUUGGAAUUUAGAAAUUUGAAAUUUAAAAUUUAAAAUUUAGAAUUUGAAAUUUAAAAUCUAAAAUUUAAAUUCAAAUUUAAAAUUUAAAUUUUAAAUUUGAAGCUUAAAAAUUUAAAAUCUAAAAUUUAAAAAUUUAAAUUUAAAAUUUAAAAUUUAAAAGUUGACAAUUCAAAAUUUUAAAUUAAAAUUUUUAAAAUGAAGUAUUGAAAGGGUUUCGGGAGUUAGGGGGUAAAAUUAUCAUUUUACAUAAUAUGUAGUAUUACCGGUUUUCAGUAAUGCAAGAUACACGACCCCCUUUCGUUAAUAUUUUCGAUGUAAUCCUACUCGAUUUGUAAUGCUACAUUAACAAUUAGAUUACAUAGCGGAUGAACCAACACAGUAAUCCUGCCAGGAUAACUCGAACCAAAUGCAACCUUUAAACUGAAAGUAAUUCAUUUCUUUUGUAAU
rnacentral:lncRNA from 1 species